rnacentral:rRNA from 1 species
AAACAUAUUUAAUAGAAUAUUAUUAUUAAUUUAUCCUGCUCAAUGACAAUUUAAAUAGCCGCAGUUCAUACUGUGCUAAGGUAGCAUAAUCAUUUGUCUUAUAAUUAAAGACUAGAAUGAAAGGAGAUACAUUUAAGUUAUUGUAACAUUAUCUUAUUUUAAAUUUAUUUUAAAUGUAAAAAAACAUUUAUUCUUCAGAAAGACGAAAAGACCCUAUUGAACUUUACUUUAGUUUAACUGGGGUAGUUAAUUAAUUAAAAUUUUAAUUUUAAUUAAAUUUACAAUGACCUGAUCUAAUCAAUUUUAUAAUUAAGUUACCAUAGGGAUAACAGCGCAAUAAUUUUUAUUAGCUCUUAUAUAAAAAAAUGAUUACGACCUCGAUGUUGAAUUAAUUAAUCUGAUAAAUGCAACCAUUUAAAUAGAGAGUCUGUUCGACUUUUAAAUAAUUACAUGAUC